GUCCCGUCGGGGACAUCCGAUAAAAUUGGAGCGACACAUAGAAGAUUAGCAUUUGCCCUGUGCAAGGAUGACAUACACAUGUCGAGAAAUAGUGUAGUGUAAU